rnacentral:lncRNA from 1 species
CCCUCGUCUCUUUUUUCCGUCUCCCUCUUUUAUUGACUUUUAAAUUAUUUUUUUUUUAAAUAGCUUCCUCUCGCUCUCUUCCCCUCUUGCUUCAGCCAUUGCUGCAGCCCAACAAGCUCACCCUCUCCCAUACGAUUGAAGUUGCAAAACCACCUCAAUGGAUCCGCCAUCUCUCGUUUAUCAUUUUGAACUCCAUUAUUGACCUAUCUUUCCAUCACUCCUCUCGGUUUUGCUUGCAUUACCAGGUUUGAGUAUCAUAAUUUUCUUUCUUUCUUUUUUUUUUUCUUUUGGGUUUUUAUACUUUUGUUGUAGAGAAAGAGAAGACGUGUGAGUCUUCGGGUUUUGAUGUAAUUUUUUGUUUUUCUUUCUAGGGUUUUAGGUUGGGUUUCUCUAUGGUUUGUUAAAA